rnacentral:rRNA from 1 species
UACGUAGGGACCAAGCGUUGUUCGGAUUUACUGGGCGUAAAGGGCGCGUAGGCGGCAAUUCAAGUCACUUGUGAAAUCUCUGAGCUUAACUCAGAACGGUCAAGUGAUACUGCUUUGCUAGAGUGCAGAAGGGGCAACCGGAAUUCUUGGUGUAGCGGUGAAUGCGUAGAUAUGCGGAGGAACACCGAUGGCGAAGGCAAUCCCCUGGGCCUGCACUGACGCUCAUGCACGAAGCGUGGGGAGCAAACAGG